CAGUCGCCGCGGUAAUACAGAGGGUGCAAGCGUUAAUCGGAAUUACUGGGCGUAAAGCGCGCGUAGGUGGUUUGUUAAGUUGGAUGUGAAAUCCCCGGGCUCAACCUGGGAACUGCAUUCAAAACUGACUGACUAGAGUAUGGUAGAGGGUGGUGGAAUUUCCUGUGUAGCGGUGAAAUGCGUAGAUAUAGGAAGGAACACCAGUGGCGAAGGCGACCACCUGGACUAAUACUGACACUGAGGUGCGAAAGCGUGGGGAGCAAACAGGAUUAGAUACCCCUGUAGUCCCUGUCUCUUAUAC
rnacentral:rRNA from 1 species